AUUGAACGCUGGCGGAAUGCUUUACACAUGCAAGUCGAACGGUAGCACGGACUUCGGUCUGGUGGCGAGUGGCGAACGGGUGAGUAAUACAUCGGAACGUGCCCAGUCGUGGGGGAUAACGUAGCGAAAGCUACGCUAAUACCGCAUACGAUCUAAGGAUGAAAGCGGGGGAUCGCAAGACCUCGCGCGAUUGGAGCGGCGGAUGGCAGAUUAGGUAGUUGGUAGGGUAAAGGCCUACCAAGCCGACGAUCUGUCGCUGGUCGUAGAGGAUGAUCAGCCACACUGGGACUGGGACACGGCCAAGCCUCCGACGGGAGGAAGCAGUGGGGAAUUUUGGACAAUGGGCGCAAGCCUGAUCCAGCCAUUCCGCGUGCAGGAUGAAGGCCUUCGGGUUGUAAACUGCUUUUGUACAGAACGAAAAGGCUCUGGUUAAUACCCGGGGCUCAUGACGGUACUGUAAGAAUAAGCACCGGCUAACUACGUGCCAGCCGCCGCAGUAA
rnacentral:rRNA from 1 species